GGCGUAAAGCGUCUGUAGGUGGUUUAAUAAGUCAACUGUUAAAUCUUGAAGCUCAACUUCAAAAUCGCAGUCGAAACUAUUAGACUAGAGUAUAGUAGGGGUAAAGGGAAUUUCCAGUGGAGCGGUGAAAUGCGUAGAUAUUGGAAAGAACACCGAUGGCGAAGGCACUUUACUGGGCUAUUACUGACACUCAGAGACGAAAGCUAGGGUAGCAAAUGGGAUUAGAUACCCCAGUAGUCCUAGCCGUAAAC
rnacentral:rRNA from 1 species